rnacentral:lncRNA from 1 species
UUUCGGUCCAGGCUUAGGUUCAGGUUUCAGUUUAGGCUUUGGUUCUGGGUAUGGUUUAGGCUCUGGCUUUGGUUCGGGCUUAGGCUUUGGUUCAGGUUCAGGCAUCGGAUGUGGUUUUGGCUCCGGGUGUGGCUUGGGCUCUAGCUUUGGGUCAGGUUUAGGCUUUGGUUUUGGUCCUGGGUGUGGAAUGGGCUUCGGCUUCGGCACCGGUUUAGGUUCCGGUUUUGGCUUUGGAUAUGGUUUAGGCUCUGGUUUUGGUUCAGGCUUUGGCUCGGGCUUCGGUUCAGGCUCUGGCUUUGGCUCUGGUUUUGGUUCAGGUUUAAGCUUAGGCUCAGGCUCUGGGUGUGGCUUUGGCUCAGGCUUCGGGUGUAGCUUAGGCUCGGGUUUCGGCUCAGGCUUUGGUUCUGGGUGUGGUUUGGGCUCCGGCUUUGGUUCCGGUUUUGGUUCAGGGUGUGGCACUGGCUUUGGUUUGGGCUCCGGUUUCGGUUCUGGGUGUGGCUUAGGCUCUGGCUUCGGCUCGGGUUUGGGCCCCGGUUUUGGCUCUGGCUUUGGCUUUGGGUAUGGCUUUGGUUCUGGUUCUGGUUUUGGUUCAGGUUUAUGCUCAGGUUUUGGUUCUGGCUUUGGCUCCGGUUUGGGCUUUGGCUUCGGCUCUGGGUAUGGCUUUGGUUCUGGUUUUGGUUCAGGCUUAGGCUCAGGUUUAGGUUCUGGAUUAGGUUUUGGUUCUGGCUUUAGCUCCGGUUUCGUCUCUGGCUUCGGCUCUGGGUAUGGCUUUGGCUCCGGCUUAGGUUCUGGCUUUGGCUCCGGUUUUGAUUCAUGCUUAGGAUGAGGCUUUGGCUUUGGCUUCGGCUUCGGCUCCAGCUCUGGCGGCUUCUCGUACAUCGCACGGCCCUGCUUGCUCAUGAAGCGGGCGCCAUGGCCGAGUCCCUGGCCAGCUGCCGCCGCUUCAUCAACUAAAGCGCUCGCCACCGCCAAUGCCCCAAGCAGGAGCACGGCGGCAGUGAGGCAAGGAGAGCGCCUAGCCAUGGCUGGCAAGCUAAGCUCCUCCUCUUCGCUUAUCUUCUUCUCCCUCUCUCACUUCUGCUGUUGUACGUAACUGAACUGUGAGCUUGUGCCAGUGGAUGGAAGGAUUGCUGGGGUUUUAUAGCCCGGGAAAGCCAAACAAUGCAAGCAGGUGUGGUCACAUGUCUCCAUGGCACCCUGCUUUUGUGAUCUCUAGCUGCUUGCCAGAUCUCACCUAGUAUCAUGCCUGCCUCCCUUCCAAAUCUGACUAUUUUACUCUUCUUCACUUUUUACUAACUGCUAACCCUACUUUUUCCUAAUUAAUCAGCACCUGUUCUGAUUAAUCAAUCGGUUACUUGUUACUUUAAUGUAUGACUAGACAAUUAGUCUUUUGUUGGAACACAUGAAUUUUAUACAGCUUUGGUUAGAAACUGAAGUAGUAGUAAUUGGUACGAAAAGCAAGUAAAAUUGUUUGAGUCAUAUUCAGCAGCGGAGCCCGCACGGCAAACAAACAGGGGAAAUGGAACAAGUGCGUAAAAUAGCUUAGGCUAGGUGCAGCAGAAGCUAGCAUUGCAGGAGCAGGAGAUGGACGGACGGAUCGAUCGUCAAUGGACAUCGCCGGUGGUGGGUCGCCGGAAGGACAGCAGCCAGAAACAUUAACGUGGGUGAAAGUGUCCGGCCCUCGCGGCCAUUGGGCCUGUUCUGCGGCUGCGUCGUAGCCGACACCAACAGUGCCGUGCGCACACGACGCAGCCGUAGCCAUGCCGAACAGGCCCAUAUUAUCUUGAGAAUUGCAUCGAACUGAACACAUUAGAUUUUUUAUACACUAUAUUAACAUCGACACUGAGUAAUUUAAAUGAUAAAUAUGAUCAAUUACGGACCGAUCCAGCGUUGUUUUUGAAAAGAUGCUACCGUCCGUUUUCAGCUCUAAGACUACCCGCCAGACAGAAUCUCCCACGGCUUCUCCUCUCAAGAAAAAGAGUAUUGGUCCACAGGCCAUACCCACUCUCGGCCCAAUGUCUCUCCUUUCUCUUCUCCUCCAUGUUGGGCUUACGCGGCUGCGUGAAUGUUUGCAGGCCAUGCAUGCAAAUCAGCCGACAAAUAAAUAAAUUCAGCAUGUCAUUGGUGGUACGCUAUCUUUUCUUGAAAUAUUCCUCUUUAGGCCUCGUUUAACCCCAUAAAAAAUGAUUGAAGUAGAUUUAAGGGAUUCUACACCAUAACAGGUACGGUGCACAAUUAACCCUUUCCAAAUCUCCCUCAAUCGUCCUGAGUGGGGCACGUAGGCGUUCAAAUAAACACGUCCACACACUCACCCAUAUAUGAUAUAUAUGAACGUGUACACACCUUAUUUGCUAUAAGCACCUUUGAAAACUAGAUCAACAUAUCUUGAUAUUUAUAAAACAACCGUAAGCACGUUGUUGGUGAUGGACGCCGUCUAUUACUGAAAAAAUAAUUAGUCAUAAAUAUGUGUAACUGUGUCAAGUCUAUGACUUAAAUUUUUAGUAGACAUGUUACACCACCAUUAACCUAACCAGUUGAGUUAUUCUCAUUUCGCUGCCUAACUUAAAAGAUGGAGCCGCGCGUUGAUAAAUCCACGAUAGUACGCUAUAGAUAGCCACUCUAGUAUAUUUAUUAAUAAAUUAUGCAUGAAGUAAGCUACCCCUAAUAAUUUAAAAGAGAUAUAUAAUUAAAAUAAAUUGAGAUGAAAUAUGUGGCUUUGUUGGGUUGGAUGCACCAAAAAAUAAGUAAGAAAAAGGAAGAAAGGAGUACAACCUAGUGUUGGUAGACUCCAUUACGCGUCCAAAGCAUGCAUGUGUCUGCCAUGUUAUCAACAAAGACACACAUGACACUUGGCAGAGUUAACACGGCAUGAUGGGAUAUGUCACAUAUGGCAUCCGAUUCCAGAAGAGAAAAAAAAGAUGGUAGUGUUAGGUGACAAAGAUGGGGAAAGAACGAAUUAAUAAUUAGGAAAAACUGUAGAUGCCUUGCAGAUCGAGGAUACAGUACACAUGAUCAUCGACUUGGACUGAUGAGCAGCAGCAGCUGGUGUGCAUUUCUCUCGUGCCUCUCGUCUGUGUUUGAGAGCGAGCGACCAACAGUUAAAAAUGGAUUAAGUUAGACUGUACUGUCUCAAUUAAUUCAAAACGCGCGUUUGAUCAGUAUGGGAGAACCUUUAUCUGCUUUCCCGGUAGUAUAUAUAGCUAGGUUGCUAGUUAAAGUGAAUUUCACCAGACUUUUCUUUUUAGAUAAUAUUUCACCUGACUUUUUAGUUCUGAAAAGGUAUAUGGCUGAUCGUGCCAUCUCAGCGAAGAGAAGAAUUUUGGAAAAUGCAUAUGCCAUCGCGAUCAUCCUCAAUCUUUACUAUCAUACCCUUAUUCCGCGCUUUUCCUCGAAGGAAGUUGAGAUAUAUUAUUCACGAAAAAUAUAUACUCCUUUCAUCCUAAAAUAUAGUAACACUCAUUCAUACGUGAAUGGCAAACCUGAAGUAUUGACACCGUUGUUUGUGUGUUCCUAACCAGGAAAGUGUGGAGCUGACUUGAAGAGGACGGCACGGUAGAGGGUAGAGCCUUCUUAAUGAUGCGCCCUAUGACCAUAGUAUAUGAGAAGGCGACCGACAUAAUUAUAAUAUGUGGUAAGGAAUAAAUAGAGGACGGCAUCACAUGAACGAGUAAUAAACUAGGAAAUAACCAAGGUAGAGACGGAAGCACCCAUUGGAAGGGUGAGAGGUGAGUGGCCAAGCUAUGAGCUCAUGACACCCCAUACCUAGAGACCGGGUCUAUCAUAUUAAUCAACAGCCAACCAUUAACUCAUCGAAUCAAUCAAGUAUUUUCACUACUACGGGAAACUAAACCGGUCGGUUGAGAACCUUGCAUAGGUGCCGGUUUUCAUAACUGGUACAUAGUAGACGACACAGACGAGAGAAAUCAAAGGUGUCAGUUUUGAAAAUGGCACCUUUGAGGUCCCAAGAAUAAAAAACAAAAGAAACUCGAUGCAUCGGCUCAAAUCCCAAUCACCCAUAAGAUUUCCAUCUAAGAACAAAAUCACAGAAUUAAGAACAAAAUCAACAUUCAUGAACAAACAUCUAAGAACACAAUCACAGUAUCAAGAACAAAAUGAGCGUCCAUGAACACACACAAAGAAGAUACCAUCGUUGCUGUUGUUGUCGGGCGGGCCGCCCCUGUGCCGCUCUUCCUCCUUGUCAUGGUGGCCAGAUCCAGCUGUCGUUGAGCUCUAGGCGGCUGGAUCUGGCGGUCUCUACCUCCAAGCGAGAGAAACCACCGCCAUCCCAGCGACGGUGAGGGGAGGAGGAGUUGCAGCUCCGAAGAGGCGAGGAGAGGGGAGGAGAGGGAAGCACCAGAGCCAGAGGGGUGGCGCCCCAUAGGAGGCUAGAUGGCCGGCUGCUGAAGAGGGAGGUGAAUAGAGCGGGCAAGAGAGAGGGAGGUGAAGGGCGAGAGAGUGGAUAAGGACAUGCUCCCCCUCCCUUUGCACUAAAAAACUGGUACCAAUAGUAUUGGUGUCGACUUUUCUCUAGAACCCACACCUAUAGUUGCUUAAAAGUGUCGACUCUAUAUUUUUUUUUGGUUCCAUGAAGGUGGGAAAAGCGUCAAUUUAUGCUAGUUUUAAAUUGGGAAGAAAGUUUGAAAUACACCCUUGAUUAUUGGGUGAGUACAAAUUAACCCCCCUAAACUUGAAAAUCAGACAUCCUUGACCCUCAACUAUCAAUACCAGAUGAAUUAUCCCCUAACUCAAUUCGGCGUGAUUUUGGUUUCACGUUGUUGUCCCAUCAGCAAAUCUUUUUUUUAAAUCAGUGGGGCCCACAUAUCAAUCUCUCACCCUCUCUCUAUCCCUCACCUAUCUAUCUCUCUAUACUCUAUCUCUCUGUCUCUCUCUUUCAAAUAUCCUCUCUCUCUUCUCCCUCCCUCACCUUCAUCUCUCUUUAUCAAGGACAGCGGCGGGCGGAGCUCAGGACGGCGGACAGGACUGGCGGAAGGCGGAGCUUGGGACAAGCAGCGGCACCUCUAGCUCUCCGUCACCGAGAGGCAGCGGCAGAGGCGGAGCUCGGGACGACGGAGGGGACGGGCGGAAGGCAGAGCUUGGGACAAGCGGUGGCACCUCUAUCUAUCCAUCAUUGAGAAGCAGUGGCGGAGGGGGAGCACGGGAACAGUGGCGGGCGGAGCUCGGGGCGAGAAGAGCUCGAGACGGCGGAGGGGACGGGUGGCAGGUGAAGCUUGGGACAAGCGGCGGCACCCCCCCCAUCUCUGUCACCGAGAGGCAGCAGCGGAGGCGGAGCUCGAGACUGCCGAGGAUGGUGAGCGGCAGAGGCGGCCAUCUUUCUUUUCCCUCCCCUUCUAUCAAUUGGUUUGGACGACGAGAAACGGAGUUGGCGCUGCAUAGUGGGGCAUGUCACGCCCUGAAGUUUCCCACUUUUCUUGCUUUAAAAUUUUGUUAAAUAAAUCGCCCGAAGAAAUUGUUUAAAUUAACCUAGAGCUAAUUCCUUAAUUAAUGAAUGCAAUUAAUAAUUGGAAUUGGCAUUGUGGGAUUUUUCUUGGGUCCCACAUGUCGUAAUAUAUUAACAGGUUUUUUAGUAGAAUUCUUAGAGCCCUAUAAAUAAUUUUAACCAUUUAAAAUUCAUAAACCGCAAUAAAGUAUGACAGGAAAAUCCUUUUUUUUCUUUUCCUCCUUUUUCCCUCUUGUUGGGCCAUCGGCCCAACCUCUCCCCGCGCCGCCCUCCUUGCUGGGCCGGCCUAAGCCUCCCCCUCCUCUCUAGGACACCGACAGGUGGGGCCCACCUGUCGGUCGUCCCUAACCUCCCACCGCCCACGCCUCGGCAGCAAUCGCCGCUGCCGUCCACGCUGCUGCUCCGCGCCCCGCGCUCACGCCCACGUCGCCGCCCACCUCUUCCACCUCUCCCGCUCUCGCAUGCGCCCGAAAAUGGAUGGGAUUCGAUUUCGAAUCCCACCCCCCUCUCUCUUUCCUCCCCCACGUUACCGGCCAAAUAGGGGGCCACCCCGGCUGUUUCCGCCCCUCCCGCGCCCAUCAAAUCACUCCCCCAAGCCUCCUCUCCCGUUUCUCUCACUCGCCACGCCCUCCCAUGCUUCUUACACCGUCGCGCCGUCACACCAAGCUCCGCCGCCCGCCAACGCACUCCGGCCACGCGUCGCCGCUGCUAGCGCCAUCGCCACACCGCGCAACCACCGCCACCAGCUUUGCCAUCGCGCGAGCCACCUCGGCCGCCACUCGGUUGCCGCAAAUCGCCCCGGAGCUCCGAUUCCCUCGCGCCGCCGGUGAGCUCGCCAUUGUCUCCAUCUCCGAUUGUUUCGUCUCGCCGUGCCGCGGCUCCUCCCUUCACCCUAACCCCUUCACCGCCUUUUCCUAGGUCGCACCGCUCCCGUGCGCCGUUUUCCAAAGCGCCGCCGCCGCUCAUCCCCUCCGCUCACCACUAUCACUCGCCGUCAUCUCUCCGCACACCGGCCACCCCACGGUGAGGAAUCCCCUCUCCUCCUUCUUUUCCUCUCUCCCAUGAGCGCCGCCGCUCCUCCACGCGUGCGUCGUCGUCUUCGGCCGCCGCCGCCACCUUUUCGCGCCGUCCGCCGCCGCCUCCCGCUCCGCCGGUCGCCACCGUCAGUGGCUGUGCACCGCCACCGCUCCCCAUGGCCAGCCGGCCAGUUUUGAGGCCGAGCAGAACCAGACAGCCGCCGCCGUGCCGUCCGAUCGGCCUCGGGGCCGAUCUGGACCGUCGUUCCCGUGGACCGGCGGUGGCCACCCGCAUGGUCCUAGUCCACGGUAGACCAGCGCCCUUUGAGCCGCUGACAUGCGGGGCCCGCUUGCCGGCGCCGGACCCCCUCGCUGACGUCAGCCCUGGGUUUAUUGUGCAAUAAAAUUAAUUAAGGAUUUUUCUUUAUUAGUAAAAACACAGAUUAUCUUCUAAAAUUCAUAAGUAAUUCAUCCGAGCUCCGUUUAAGUCCAUUCAAGUCUCAGUAAAUUCAUAAAAAUCCCUAGAAUUCAUUAAAAAUGGUUUUGUUUCCUGUUUCAGUAGUCUUAUAGCAUGUUUUGCUAGUGUGCUUUGUUUGUCGCAUAGGUUUCGGUCGUUUCGUCGAUCCACGGUUCCACGAAGACGUUGCUGUGGUCUCAUCAGUGCGAGGGCAAGGCAAGUCAUGCAUUACAAUUGAUCAUAUUGUACCCAAUUUACAAAUAUCCUGCAUUUCUAUUAAAUGUUGCAUUCUUUUACAAUAUCAUGUGGGAUGGGUCCUAUUACUCAGCCAUUUUUUGUUUACACUAUGCCAUUGAUAACUUGGGUAUCAAAAUGACUAGAUGUUGGUUUAGGAAAUGCUUAGCAUUGCUUAGUUUAACUAGUGCACAAAUGGGGAUCACAUUAUUACAUAGACUUUGACUAUUAGCAUAGCUUUGGAUUGGUUCCACCGUAAUGUUGUUAGUUAAUUAAAAUACACUGAAUGGUGGGCUAUGGGUGCGUGGUUUUGCUGGUCGCACCCAUGGCAAUUAAGGACCGGUUCACGGGAAACCCUGGAAGACUUGCCAUGCUUACCACAAGUGGGAAUGGGUAACUGCUUGACUUGUAGUAUAGCUCGACCAUUUCCUAGGCACCGGUGACAAGGGUGGGCGUGAUGGAGUUGGGUCAGCUGGGGUGUCCGGUUGUCCAGCUGCUGGAUUCACCGCGGCGCAUGAGGGGACUGCCCACUGCCUGUUGAGGGUUGGGGGUGAAACCUUAGCGUGGUGUGGAUGGUUAGGGGAGGGUUAUGCGAAGGGUCUUGUCACGAUUUCCCCCUUUGCACUAUCAUGGUGAUACUUCGGGGCAUGGCGACAUGUGUGGAAUCGUGUCUUGUGGGUACAGUUGUACACCUCUGGCCAGAGUAAAACUAUUCGAAUAGCCGUGCCCGUGGUUAUGGGCGAUCAACCAGAUUCACCGUGGUUAGUCUUACCCCGAGUUUAGCUUAGUGAACUGGUGUAGUUCAGGUGGUUGGUUGGGCAUGUCGCAACGUGGUGUAGCGUUGGACAGUGAUUGGUUAAUAUGGACUAAUUACUGCAAUUGUUUUACUGCUUUCAACUACUGUUUUUAAAUGCCUGCUUUAUGAAAAUGAACCUUUAGCCUCCUUUGGAUAUAUCCUGCAUCAUACCUCCUCUUCCAGUAUGACUUGCUGAGUACAGUGGGUAGUACUCAGUCUUGCUCUCUUUUCCCACACACCAGAGCGGAAGUUCUUCCCAGUUGGAGAUGUCUCAGAAAGGUUGGUUUCAUUGCUGCCGUUAAGGAUGCCUGUGGAGUGGAGUCGCCCGCUACAGAAGUCAAGUUUUCAAGCUUAGCUCGUUUUAUCUUUUCCGCUGCAUUUGUAAUCUCUUGUAUUUUUGUAAUCCUGGAUAGAGGUUUUAAUACAUAUUCAGCUUAGAAAUUCUGAUUCGUGAAUUUCUGGGCGUGACAGGGCAUCGAGCGGCGGAGGCGGCUCCUCCUCGGCCUCUGCCGGCACACGCCUCCUCCACGACCACCUCGUGAGCUUGCUGCCACCGUCUCCUACACUCGGGGAUGCUCACAGCCAGCGGCGCACGGCUCGUCCUCGGCUUCCGUCGGCGCAUGGGGCUCCUCCUCCGGUCCGUGGCGUACAACUCAUCUGUGGCAUCUGAGAGGAGAGCGGCGAGCGGCGGAGAGAGAGAGAGGUGAGAGAGGAUAAAGAUAGAGAGAAGAGAGAUAUGACAUUUGGGCCCAUCGUUUUUUUAAUAAAAGAAUUGCUAACUGGACAACCACGUAGGACCAUAACCGCUUGCAAAGUUGCUCAGCUUGGUACUUCAUCUCAUAUUGACAGUUGAGGGUAAAAGAUAUCUGGUUCUCGGGUUUACGGGGAUAAUUCGUACUCACCCAAUAGUUUAGGGGUGCAAUUCGGAUUUUUCCCAACCGUAUCUAUGAGUCGUCUUCUAUUAAGGAUUUUGUAGCAGUGUUUAGGCAUGAGGCAUCUUAUUGUCUUGUCUUCGUGACUAGGCUCGUUGUCUUAGGUACUCAUCGGUUGCCCAUAUUCCAUAAAAAUCCAAAACAGCUUAUUAGCCAAUAAAAUUAAGUUAUUGAUAAAACUUUUAUAUAUGUAUUCUUAACGAAUUAAAAGCUAAUGCUGAAAAAACUAACUUGAAAAUAUUUUAAAAUCAACUCCAAAAUUAAAUUUAAGAAUUCAAAAUUUAACUUCGUUUUGACUUAUUAGGGUAACCAACGGGCUCUUACGUUUAUUCGACAAUUCAUUUUUGUCGUUAACUCACUCAACGCACGUGGAUGCACCACGACACUAAUUAACUAUAAUUAGUUAAUUAGCCAACAUGCAUGCGUCGUGACAUGAGCAGGCUCGGCUAAGUCUUUGCCCAGAGUGGUGUGAUGGUAUAAUCUUGGAUAUUUUUUUUACCAAGCCGUUUUAAACCCUCGAGAAUAUAUCUCCUCGUUUUUCUUAAAAAGUAUUUAAAUAUUUAUAGAAAAUUUUUGAAACAAAUUGAUAACGGUGGUGGAAGGACUGAGGGUCGUUAUGAUAGUGGAUAUGGAUGGGCAGAAAAAAAAAACCGAACCGAAAUAAUCAUAUCGAACUAACCGAGACCAAAAAAUUUGGUCUGCAUUUUCACUAACCGAAUUUAGAUCGGUUAAUUCUGUCUUUGGCGUCGGUUAACCAAAUUGAUCGAAAUAUAUCAUUGGCCAAAUAAUACAGAUGACAUCUCAGCCCACUAAGCCCAAUACCACCUCAUCCGGAGGCAACCAACUCCCUGCUGCACCACCACAAGAUCUUUUCAUCCCCAAUCCCCACCUUAUGCGCAUCUCCGAAGACUGCAAAUUCCCCCACCGUGCGGUGCUGCCAUUGACGACCUGUGACUGCGAUGUGCUGCCCCUGCUGCCGCCGCAUCUCGCCUCUCACCCCAAAACCAACAACCCCUGCCACCGCCGCCACAUCUCGGCGCCCUCUGAUGCAUGCCGGCCAGCCACACCUCGUGGAGGCCGUGCGCGGGAGCUAGAGACCUCGCCGACAUCGGCCAUGAGCAAAGAGAUGGGAGCCGCAGUAACAACAACGGCAGGAGGCGAUGGGAUGGAUGGGAUCUUGGUCCCUGGAGCCAUCUAGAACAAUUGAUGGCAGAGAUCGAUGGGGAGUAUCGAUUUGCUUCUUUUUUUUUCUUUUUCUUCAGAAUCCCAUCGAUCUGCUUUUUUUUUCUCAGAAUCGUGCUCGAUUUGCUAGUGGCAUCAAAUAGUAGUGCAUCAUCUGUGUGUUUCCUUUAAUUCAUUGAUCAUGUACAGAUUACUUGCCAUUCUUUUUUGUUGUUCGAACUUUUGUAACGGUUAGUUCGGUCUAUGACCGAGACCGAACCGAACUAACCAAAGACCGAAGUGCUCGGUCGUUAAAGACCGAAUUUUCAAAAAGACCGAGGAACCGAACCGAAUCUCUCGGUUAGACCGUGUUGUCGAAACGACAACUAUAUACGUCGAAGGAUGUGGUUACUCAACAGUGGUUGGGAAAAUGAAGUGUACUAAAUUUUGAAUUUUCCUUGGGAUCCCCCCAUUAGAUAGCCCUAGGGGACUAUUUAUAGCCCCAUUACAGGUCCUUACUACCAGGGUUUAGGUUGUACAGGAAAAUUUACAUGAUUACCCUUACAAAAGGGGCAUUUACAGGGGUACAUAAUGUUAUAGGGGCUCAUGGGCCCCUGAUGGGCCGUCUGGCGAUCGCCGGCCUGAUGGGCUGGAAAGGCUUCCUCAGCCCUCGCGGGGGCGAACUUGUCAAGGCGAAGUCAUCCUCCUUCGGCAGACAGUCUUCGCCUUGCACCCUUCGCCUGAGACGCCUCUGGCCUGGCGCUACUCUUCGCCUUGCACCGCUCUUGCUCCAUAGCCUUCGCCAUGGGUUUCGGCAGGUUUGGUCGAAGAGCCUCAUGCCAUCCGCCAACAAGCCCCUCACGGGCAAGGGUGAGACUGGAGCUUCGGCCGAGACCGUGCAAACCAUGUGGUAUGGUAUGCGGCGCCCCCUUUCGACCGAUGCUCCUGCCGAAACCUACAUUAUUCCUGCGAAUGAAGUUUGUUAUUUGUGCGGCUGGUAUUAUUUUGCCGCGCUUCGCCUCGUGCGAUUGAUGGUUAUAUAUAUUCUUUUUUCCUGGGCCGAACGGAAUAGUAUUGGGCCUUCCUAUCUUUAGGCUUUUUACUGUGCCGCUCGGUUGAUGGGAAUUUACCGUUUCGCCUACCCUUGCGACACGUGGCGCUUUAUUACUGGUGGGUAGGCGAACGGUCGCCUGGGCGGGCUAUAUAUUCCUGCUGCUCUUUCCUUUUCACCGCCACACUUGCCAUUUUACCGCGCGCGCUCUCUUUCUCCGUCUCUUCCCUUCACAGCAUCUUUCGACCCCUCAGGCGUUUUGCCGAAACUCUUUUUUCGCCACCGAAAACGCACCGUUCGCCAUGGCCCCACGUACGCCAAACCCUACUUCGGCGAAAGGGCCAGAUCCCGGCCGAGUCGAUGACGACAGCACUGCCUUUCUGGGGGUCUCUCUUGUGGACGACGUCGAGCUGGCGAAGCUGGUGAGCUCCGGAGCGUUGGUUAAGGGGCAGGCUUUUGCUCCAGGGAAAACCGUGGUGCCGAAACCUGUCGACAAUCGGACGGUGGUGUUCGCCAUAUUUUUUGAGGCAGGGCUACGGUUUCCCUGCAACGUGUUGUUGCCAGAGAUCCUUCGCCUCUUCUAGGUGGAACUUCCGCAGCUGAGCCCGUCGGCGCUUGUUCGGAUCGCCAUCUUUGACUGGGUGUGCCGGACUUCCAGGUUUGAGCCCAACGCUGAGCUCUUUGGCGCCAUAUUUUUCGCCACCGUGAACUCGAAGACGGUGAUUACCCCGGCUGGAACGAAAAAAACAGUGUUCGGGAGCGUGAACUUCAACGUUCGCCCCGAGCGGUCCGAUCUCUGGCCGGUGAACGCUGCCAUGUCGAAGUGGGACCGCCAUUGGAUGGCAAGGUGGUUCUACCACACCAUCCCCUUCGAGGCUAGUUCUGAAUCAGCGAAAGCCCUUCGAUGCCGGCGCAGGGCGAUUGCGCCGAACCGGAGACCCAAGAUCGCUGUGGACGGCGCCAUGGAGGCGCGGUUUGUUCUACUGCGGAAGGUUUGCUCCCGCCUUAGCUGCCGUGACUUGGUGGAGGAAUUUUGUAUGCUUCGUAUUUUUCCCCUCUCCCAGUCAUGGCAAGUCGCGGUUGAACAAGGCGAAGAGGUCGACGGUUUGCCGAACCUGAUACUUCCUGAGGGGGCGAACGGUAAGACUGUUCUUUUGCUAUAUAUUGUUGUGCUUUGUUAUUUCGCCUUAUUUGACUUUUGACAUAGCUUCACAUUCUACUUUUACAGUGUUGACCCUCGACCAGGCCGAAGCCGAAGCCCGCAGGAUGAUCGGCGAUGUUUCGGUCGUCGAGUAUAGUCAACUGUUAACGCGUCAAGCGGCUGGGCGGGCGAACCGGGUUUACAAUGGCGAACUGCCUCCCCGGGCGAAUCCCCAAAAGGCCGACGACGAGGCAGGGCCUUCGCGAAAGCGGAUGCGUGGACAAGUGAAGCUUGCCCCCAAGAAGCGAAGGGUUCCUGCUUCGUCUGACUCCGACGCCGACGACGAGGAUGAUGCCGAAGAACGUGACGGGGAGGAGGAAGGAGAGGAAGAGGAGGAGGUGGAGGCUGUGGCUGAUAAGGCCGCGGGUGAGGCGGUCGAAGACCGCGCCGACACCCCCGGGUACACUCCUACCCCAAGUCCUGGUCACAACGAAACCAGGGUGGAGUCGAACAGCUCCCCCCUUUGUCGGAAGGAUUUGGAAGGGGUGAAGGCCCUAGUUGCGUUCUCUUCGGGCGCGGCGGCGAAGGGAGGUCCUGUCAAAAAGGUGGCUAAAAAGAAAGGGCUCGUCGAUGUCACUCGCGUUUUUAGCGAUGACGAGUCCUCCGACGGGACUCCGACUUCGCCCGCUGGUCGCAGCGUGGAUCUUUCAGCCGCCCCCAUUCCUCCACUUGGCGCCGCUGGAGUGGACGGUAGUACCGCCGCUUAGGCUUCGGCUUCUGCGGAAAGGAUUGUGAUGGCCGCGGCGAAAGUAUUCGGCAGUCCUCCGCAUCAGCCGGUUGACUCGCCGCUGAUGGAGGCGAAGGGAAAGAGAGCGGUCGCUGAGACAUCCACUUCGGAAUAUUCGCUCCCAGUACCCCGCUUCGCCCUUGGCGACUUCGAGACGCGAGCGGACCUCCUUCCUUUUGUGGAGGGGGUAAGCAAUCUUGUACUGCCCGCCAGCGCCCUGAGCUUGUUCACCGAACUGAAUGAGUUCGACGAGGGGUGCUCUGCUAUAAAAAGCCUAGCUGUUCGGGUACGUUUCCCCCCCGAUUUUAUCUUUACUCUUCCUCUAUCUUGUUUUUACAAUUGACACUUGUUCUCUUCGCCGCUCGUAUUCUGCGCCCAGAUCCUCGCGGCUCACUGCUCAACGGAGCGAACCGUGCGAGCUCGACUUGAUGGGUUCAAAAGCCAUCUUCGGGCCAAGGAUGACGAACUAGGCCGCAAAAAUUUAGAGAUGGAGGCCCUUGCAAACACCCUUAAGGAGGCGAAGGCCGAAAACAAGCGGCUCCAAUCGAAACUAGAGAAAGGGAAGGAAGCUAGGGCCGAAGUCGAUCGCUUAAAGGCCGAACUAGAGAAAGAGAAGGCCCACACCGCCGUGCUCAUAGAUUAUUAUAACCUCACCGAGCCGAAGAUGGAGGCUCUUCGGCAGGAGGUUCGCAAGGCCAAAGCAAGCGCUGUAGAGGAGUCGCGGCGGUUUUCGCAGGAAAUGGUGAAAACCACCGAGUCCGCGCGGACAGCGUGCCAAACGCUUCGCCUUGCCCUUACUGAUAUGGGCGCGAAGGUGCGGGGUGUCCCCUCCGAAGAUGCCUCAGCCUUCGACUUCUCCGAAUGGACCUAACAGGCUGGUGGUUCGGUUUCAGACUACGCCACCGCAUACGGCGAUUGCUGUGCACGCGUGUCAGCGGCCUUUACCAUGGGCCUCCUGCAGCAGUUCGGCUACGAGCACAUCGCCGAGUUCCCCAAGUACGCGAAGGGGGAUUGGGAAAUCAGUGGGCAAGACAUUUCACCUGCACUUCGUGCGUGGCGAAAACAAUUUUGGCAGAAGGACGGCCGCUCCGCCGCUAAGGCGCGCCUUUUGGAGCAGCUGGCGAAAGCGGAGGCGGCGGACAUUUGUGAAGAGGAGGGCGCGGCGGCCGGAGGGGGUGGAGGCGAUGCCCAGGAUCACCCAGAGGUGUGAGGCCCUCCGCCCUUCUCUUAGAUUUUCAUAGUUUUCUUUUGGUGUUCGCUAGAUGUGGCGAACCAUUGUAUAUUCGGCAAACUGCCGCUAAACCUUAAAAAAGGCUUUUUUGCAUACUUGGACUGUAUGAUAAUUUUAACCACUUUUUAAUGAUCAAAGUCUUUGGCAUAUUAUUAUUUCGCUCAUUUUGCAUUAUGCCAAACCUUCCCCUUCUUUCGCCUAUUCUUACCAUGCAAGAUGUGUUUUGCCUUUUCUACACUGUCUACCAGGGGGUCUGCCGAAAAUCAUGCAUUCGACCCCCUUCUGGGAGCUGGAGAAGUCAAAACGAGAAAUUUGUGGCAUUAAAGGGUUUGCCGAAGGUGCGAUGUCCAUUUCGGCCUGUUUAUCGCGAAAUGGAAAAAAACGGUCGCAGCUAUAAAGUUUUCAAGGUUGCCAACUGGCUGCGGGCGCACCCCGGGCGAACCUUAGAAGAUUACGAUCUUGUUCAUUCAAGACGUUUGGAGGAUAUGGCUCGCUUUUGGCGAAACCAUCAGAAGACUAAACGCCAGGAAUCGAUCUUUCAGCGUCGUUACAGUUUAGUCUGUGUUUCGCCCCCUACUCCUCUUAAGGUUGUGUAUAAUAUUAGUAGUGAUGACGAACCUAAUUCGUCCGACCAUUCCUUAGGGAGGGAUAAUGAUUACUGGGGCGAAAAUGUAAUUUACUUGUAAAAUGAAUUGUAUUGGGUUGUAAACCUUGUAUUCUUCGAUUAUUUUUUCGAAGCUAAUAAAGAACGUGCUUUAUUUCCUUUUCGCUAUUUUUCGCAUCGUCACACUUUGUGCUUUUGUUAGGUCGGAACAUGCCGGCCCCUUUGCAUAUAGUAGCGAAAUAGGUGUAGUGACUUCUUUUCGUCGUUCGUUUUCGAUCUGUAGCGUUCUGUGUCGAGAGAAACGCUUUUGCUUUUAUGCUGAUCGGUCGUAACGUCGUUCGGCUAUUUAUUUUCCGAGACAAGCUGUUGCGGUUUCAACGUUCGGCGAGCAAUGCUUCGGCCGAUUCGUUUCGCCCCCCUGGUCUUUUUCGCUGAUCAGGCGUUUGUCUUGGGGUUUUUCCACAAAUUAUCAAUCACACGAAAAGAAAUAAAAAGAAGGCGGAGGACACAAAGAUUUUAUACUGGUUCGGGCCUCCAUGGUGGAUAAUAGCCCUACAUCCAGUUUUUUUUUCUUUUUCUCUUCUCUUUUUUCCUUUUUUUUUCUUGCCGAAAGGCUUAUAUAGUGCCGAAAGGCUUACAUGACAGUAUGUACAUUUUUACAAGUUGGCGAUUUGGGUGCCACCCAUUCUAGACAUAAAAGCGCUUGAGGGAGGCGGCGUUCCAGGAAUGGUCGAACUCCUCGCCUUCGAGUGUCGCUAGGCGAAAAGAUCCCGUCCUGGACUUGUGUUUGAUAAUGUAUGGUCCUUCCCACUUUGAUUCAAGCUUGCCAACCGCUAAUGGGUUCGCCUUUUUCCUUAGGACAAGAUGACCAGGCAUCAGCUCCGUGGGUCGGACUUUUUUGUUGUAAGUUGCCGAAGUGCUUGUGGCGUACUUGUGCAUGUGCUCGAGCGCUUCGACCCUUACAGCUUCCAAGAGUUCGAGCGAUACCUCGCGCCCCUCUUCGCCCCCGGAGAACAUAACCCUUGGUGAGUUAGCCCCUAGCUCCGCUGGGAUCAUUGCAUCAUCGCCAUAAAGAAGCAUAAAUGGGCUAAACUUGGUUGGUCUUAUGGGGGUCGUCCGAAGGGCCCAAAGAACCGAUAACAAUUCUUCUGGCCAUUUGCCUUUCGCCGCCCCCUCAAGUCUUUUCUUUAGUGCUUCUAAGAUCUUGCCAUUUGUACGUUCGGCCGCCCCAUUUGACUGUGGGUGCGCGACCGACGCGAACCUGAUUUCUAGGUUAAGCGCUUCGCACAUUUCUCUGAACUUAUCAGAGUCAAACUGCUUGCCGUUGUCAGUAAUGAACUCUUUUGGCACCCCGAAAUGGCAAAUAAUAUUUUUCCAUACAAACUUCUGUACUGCUGCCGAAGUGAUUGCCCCAAGGGGUUCGGCUUCGAUCCAUCGAGAGAAAUAUUCCACAGCUACAAUUACGAAUUUAUACCCGUUUCGCGCCACCGGGAAUGGCCCAAUAAUGUCCAGUCCCCAUCUGGCGAAGGGCCAUAUUGGUGCAAUGGGCUGCAGAUCAUACUGGGGCGCGGCUUGGCUUCGGCCAUGACGCUGGCAACUUUCGCACUUCUUGAUUUGCUCAACACAGACUUUCAUCACAGUGGGCCAAUAAAGUCCUUGUCUAAAUACUUUGGAGGCCAUUGUUCUUGCAGCCUGGUGCGCGCCACAUAGCCCUUGGUGUAUUUCCUUUGCCAUUUCUUCGCCUUCGGCAAAAGAGAUGCAACAAACUAAGGGUUGAAGUACCCCGGAGCGGUAAAGCUGACCCGAGACCAUCUUAUACUUCGUGGCUCUGAGUUGCAAACGCUUCGCUUCUGCUUCGUCUACCGGAAGCCAGCCAGUUUCAAGGUGUUUCACAAAUGGGGUUCGCCAGUCAUAUGAGUCUUCGCCCAGUUUCUCUUGGUCGAUUGUCAUGACUUCCGAGCUGUCCAUGGGCACACUUGGAGCAUGUAGGACUUCGAAAAAGAUGCCAAGCGAAUGCGGGCCACCACAAGCAGCGGAUUUCACCAAGGCGUCUGCUUCAUCGUUUUGGUCUCUAGGCAAGUGUUCGACCGUUAUGCCGGUGAAGCAUUUUUCCAUGGACCGAACAGCCUCCAGAUACCUCUUCAUUCCCUUUUCUUUUGCCUCGAAGGAUUUGUCAACAUGGCCUGCUACCAACUUGGAGUCAGUUCGAAUUAGCAGGCGCCGGACUCCCAGUGCUUUCGCCUUUCUUAGGCCCAGGAGAACGGCUUCAUAUUCUGCUGCAUUGUUGGUUGUGUUGAACUGUAAUCUCGCUGCGUACCGAAUCGGCACACCAUUCGGCAAAAAGAGGACUGCCGCAACGCCUGCCCCCUUGUGCGACCACGAACCGUCAGAGCACAUCACCCAGAACUGGUCAUCGGGCUCGGGCUCGGGGGCAAGUACUGGUGUCCAUUCAGCUACGAAGUCAGCUAGCACUUGAGACUUGAUAGCAGAGCGUGCAACAAAAUGCAAGUCGAACGGGGAUAGCUCUGCCGCCCACUUGCUGAGCCGGCCAGUGACUUCCUUGCCUCGGAGUAUUUCGCCCAAGGGGUACUGUGAUGGGACUAUGCUUUGUGGGCCUGGAAGUAGUGCUUAAGCUUGCGCGAAGCCAUUACUAGAGCGUAAGCAAGCUUUUCCAUUUCAAUGUACCUUGUCUUCGCUCCUUGCAGUGCUUCGGAGACGAAGUAGACCGGUUUCUGUCCGGACUCUGUUUCUUGGACGAGUGCAGCACUGACUGCCACCGGUGAAGCUGCCAAGUAUAACAGCAGUUCGCUUCCUGGGGGUGGGCUUAUCAGAGCUGGCGGGCUUUGCAAGUAUUGCUUUAGCUCGUCGAAUGCUGCUUGGCACUCUGGUGUCCAAUUAAACUUUCCCGCGCCCCGGAGGGUCUUGAAGAAGGGCAAACCUCUUUCGGCCGCCUUUGAGAGGAAUCGACUGAGUGCUGCAAUUCGGCCUGUAAGCUUUUGUACUUCAUGUACGCUUGACGGAGGCUUCAUUUGCUGGAUGGCAUCGAUUUUCUCGGGAUUCGCCUCGAUGCCCCUUUCGGAAACAAGGAAACCCAACAACUUGCCUGCGCGGACGCCAAAAACGCACUUCACCGGAUUCAGCUUUAUGCCUGCCGCGCGCAAGCUGUCGAACGUCUCUUGCAGGUCGAACGCAUGGUCGAAAGCCUUGCGGCUUUUUACGACGAUGUUGUCGACGUAAGCUUGUACGUUUCGCCCAAGCUGCUUGCCAAGGACCUUGUACACCAGCCUGGCGAAGGUUCCUCCUGCGUUCCUUAAGCCGAAAGGCAUCCUGAGGUGACAAAAUGUGCCGAAUGGAGUGAUGAAGGAUGUUUUGGGGAUGUCGAGCGGGUUCAUGUGGAUCUGGUGGUAACCGGAAUAUGCAUCCAGGAAACUCAUGAGCUCGUGUCCAGCUGUUGAAUCCACGAGCUGGUCGAUUCGCGGCAAGGGGAAAUCGUCUUUCGGACAUGCCUUGUUCAGGUCUGUGAAAUCGACACACAUGCGCCAUUUGCCAUUUGACUUCCGCACCAGCACUGGAUUCGCCAACCACUCCGGAUGGUCAAUCUCUUGAAUAACCCCCGCCCAGAGUAAUUUUUGUACUUCGGUCUUCGCCGCUUCUUGGUGAUCGGCAAACAUCUUGCGCAACUUUUUCUUUCUUGGCUUAAUAUUUGGCUUGACUGCUAAGUGAUGCAUGAUGAGAUCCGCCGGGACGCCCCCCACCUCGUUAGGGCUCCAGGCGAAGAUAUCGAUGUUCUUUUUGAGCACCUCUAGCAUGCUCUCAACUUCUUCUUCGCCUAUGUGGCCCCCCCAGUGAUACGAGCUUUGUGGGGUCGGCAUCGUCAAUCUGCACUUUUGUUAUCUUGCCGUGAGGGGUGGGCUUCGGCGUGUGCUUGGGCCGCUCAUGCGGUUCGGUCUCAACAUUGUGCACUGCUCUGUUGAUUAUGGCUAGAUCGCGUUUUGAAGCGGCCGAAGGCUGAAGCCCCUUGACUACUAUCACCCCUGUUGGGCCAGGCAUCUUGAGCUUGAGAUAAUUAUGGUGGGAAAUGGCUUCGAACUUGUUCAGGGUUGCACGGCCGAAGAUGGCGUUGUAGUUGUAUGGGAUGUCGACGACGUCGAACAGUAUUUGCUCUUCGCGCCUGUUUUCUCCUAAGCCGAAAGCUAUCAGCAAAAGUGCUUGGCCAAGAACUUGCACUGCCUCUCCGCCGAACCCCCGGAGCGACGUUGGUGCCGGUGCAAGAGCUUGGGUUGGCAAGCCCAUCUUAGCAUAUGCUUCGGCGAAGAUCACGUCGGCCGAACUCCCCCUAUCGACCAGGAUUCGUCGGACUUCAAAACCGGCUAUCUCAGCUGAGAUUACCAGUGGAUCUUGAUGCGGGAAUAGGACUCCUUCGUCGUCUUCUGGCCCAAAAGAGAUCAGCUGGUUCACGUACUGUGGCGCCCCCUCACCCGCCGAAGUGAUGUUGUGGACCAUACGGAUCUGCAUCUUCCUCCGCCGUUUCGACAACAGGCUUGGCGGAUCAGCUCUUGUAAUCACUUGGAUUACCCUUCGUUGUGUAUCUUGGCGUUGUUCGGCUGGGGGUAUUUGCUCCUGAACUGCUUCACGGGGUGCUUCGACAGUUGUUCCUUGCUGCGGCCUUGGGUCUUGCGCGUUGCCACGUUGCCUAAUGUUUCGGCAUUGCUCCGUGGUGUGCGAAGAGCAUUCGUGAAAAGCGCAGUAGAGGUCUUUUCGGACCUUCUUGCGGGCUGGCUGCUGAUGGUUGCUUGCUUGCUGGGCGUCGAACUCCUUGCGUAGGGCUUGCACUUCUUCGACAGCCAUCACAGCCUUGCCCGCCCGAUCUGUUCUGAACUUUCUCCAAGUCAUGGGGGCUUGGCCUUGCCUUGGCGGCUGUCCCUGGAUCGCCGGCUAAGACUGGCGAACAGAGAAGGGAGGUGGAUCGGCAAUUUGAACUUGUGCUUGAGCUUGAGCAGCGGCGACGGAGGCUUUAUCGUACUCAGCUUGUAUAGCUUGCCGUCGCUUAGAAUCCUCCUCGCCCCUUGCGAACCCGUCAAUGAUGCGAAGUAGGUGCUCGAGCGUCUGCGGCUCCUUGUUGGCGAUUUUUCUUGUUAGUUCGCCCUCAAGCAGACCGGCCGAAGCGGCGUUUAUAACCGACGCCUCGGUUAUGUCUUGAACUUGGCACCGGGCUUGCGAGAAGCGACGCAUGUACUCCCUUAUCGACUCUCCCGGCCUUUGGCGAAUGCCAAGAAGGUGUUGCUGCGUCUUCGGCUCCUCAUAGGUGCCUCAAAAGUUAAGGACAAAAACAUCGCGCAAUUGCUCCCAUGAGUAAAUGCUAUUGGCUGGUAAAUUGAAAUACCAAGAACGGGCGAUGCCGUCUAGAGCGAGAUGUAUUACCUUCGCCUUGGUAUUUUCGUCACCAUGAGCCGCUUCGAUCGCUGACUCGUAGAUGGAGAGGAACUCCUUCGGGUCAGUUUCGCCCGAAUAAUGUGGGACAGGUGGGAACUUGAACUGGGGCGGGAUUGGACGAGUCUUGAUUCCCCCACUCAGCGGCAGCCCCUUUUCGCCUCCCGCCCUGUUUACCGCACCUUGCUGCGGGUACGGUAUGGCAAAGGGCGAAAUCACGGCUUGUGCGUGGAGUUGGGCCGCGGCAUUCGACUACCCGGCUCCAACUGGUGGUACUUGCUGGGCCACCAUGGAUGGGUCAAAGAUUGGCUGCGACGACAUCAUGGCAGCUUGGAUUGGUGCUUGGUUUGUUCCGAAGCCUAGGGUUGGAACUUGCUGCCGAACGGUUGUCACCUGAGCAGUGUUGCCGAAGUCGAACUACUGUCCUUUACUCCACGGCGAAGGUCCCGAGCUUGGCUGAAUCGGUGGCAACCAAUUAGGUGCACCUUGACUUGUAUUCCCCACCGGGUGAGCCGAUGGGGUUGUACUUGAAAUGUAGUGGGGUUGGUUGAGUUGCUGAAGGAAAGCUUAGAGUUGCGCCUGCAGAGUCGAAGCCCCUUCCGUCACUGUUUGUGUCACUUGGCCAGGUGGUUGAUGCUGCUCGGCGAAGUACACCGGCGGCUGUGCGGCUAGUGGUGGAGAGGGCUGGGUCACCACUUGCGGCCGGACUUGAGGUGGGGCAUAGCCUGCCGAAUACUGAAGGAUUGGAGCCGACGUUGCCUUGGUCCGCCUUGUCGCCUCGUAUGCUUGUUGUUGUUCUUACAUUUGGCAAAGCAUGUCUUGGAGCCGUGUCAUGUUCUGCCGCAUGGCUUCCAUGUCGGCUUCGGCUUGCACUUCGGGGUCCAGGCUGAUUUGGGCCUGUACAACGGCGAGCGCAAUCGGCGCCGCCGGCUGUGAUGGGGCGGCUUGAGGCACCACCAGUUGGUUUGUCGAAAGGUUCCCCGCCCUGGUCUGGAGUGCCCUUGCCGCCGCAGCCGCCUUCGCCACAUCGGCCGUGUUCGGCACUUGCACUGAGGUUGCGGGGGCCGAAGACAGUUGUGAUGGCGCGGGGGCCGAAGGCGGCUGUGAUGGCGCUUGUCCUUCUCCAUCUUCGGCCACGGACGCCGAAGGCUCUGCUCCUUCCUCGGCGGCCAUGUCUGGUCCGUCGUCGCUCUCCUUCCGCCUGACGGCCUUCUCCUUCACGACCCUCUUCGGUGGCACUCGCUCUCAGUGGUUUCGCUCGGAGUCCCCAUGGACGGCGCCAGCUGUUGUCGAAACGACAACUGCAUACGUCGAAGGACGUGGUUACUCAACAGCGGUUGGGAAAAUGAAGUGUACUAAAUUUUGAAUUUUCCUUGGGAUCCCCCCAUUACAUGGCCCUAGGGGACUAUUUAUAGCCCCAUUACAGGUCCUUACUACCAGGGUUUAGGUUAUACAGGGGAAUUUACAUGAUUACCCUUACAAAAGAGGCAUUUACAGGGGUACAUAAUGUUAUAGGUGCUCAUGGGCCCCUGAUGGGCCGUCUGGCGAUCGCCGGCCUGAUGGGCCGGAAAGGCUUCCUCGGCCCUCGCGGGGGCGAACUUAUCAAGGCGAAGUCAUCCUCCUUCGGCAGACAGUCUUCGCCUUGCACCCUUCGCCUGAGACGCCUCUGGCCUGGCGCUACUCUUCGCCUUGCGCCGCUCUUGCUCCAUAGCCUUCGCCAUAGGUUUCGGCAGGUUUGGUCGAAGAGCCUCAUGCCAUCCGCCAACAGACCGAAUGCCCACCCCUAAUGGUGGAGGAUGAGCAAAUGGUGGAUUAAAGUACAGUUUAACAACGUUCUAAAAUUAUCUCAGCUCAUGGGAUAAGAAAGUAAUGUUGGUUGGUUUUAUCGGCUAAUACCGGUUAGCUAGGGAAGGGGUAAAAUCCUACCAGAUUUCCUUUCCUAACAGGAAAGAAACGAAACAAUAAACGAAGGGACAAGAGAUAAACGUUACCGUGAUUGGUGAUAACAAAUUUUGAGUCUUAUCCGGAUCGACCCCGAGUCUCACCAGUGCAAAUAAAAAGAAAUGAAGGCAUUGAGGAGAGGUGACGACUAAUUCUCUACGUGUAAAUUCUGAAGCCCUAAAAAAGAGCCCGAUUGAUCUCAAACAGUGGAAAGGGUUUAUAGUGCAAACCACUCCUGUGCAGGUGAAUCAAGAAGGACAACAGAAGAAUCAAAAGAAAUUAGCAAAACUUCAAUUCAUCUGGUCAGUAAUUAUCUCAAUUCCGUAUUUAGAAUUGAUGAUCAUGUCUUAAGCUAAAAAAUAGAUCUUGAGUAAAUAAUUUCAACAAGUAAACGCCACCAUUAAUGAUACCUCUAUUUUCUAAAAAAAAAACCCAUUAAUGAUACCUCUUGCUGCUCUGCCAUCGCAUUGGUCGCCUAAUUACGGUUGCUUAAUUUCAUCCAAAUCCGAUCCAUCGCUCUCGAUCGAUGCUGCCUGCUGAAGAUCAUAGCUUGGGAUUUGGGAAUUGAAGUUGGGGCCUACAUAUGGUCAUAUGCCCAUCCACGUACAGUUGCAAACAUGCUCCUCUGAUUUCCUGCCGGGUCCGUGUCACGCGUCUACAGGACAAGCUUGUGUUGUGUGUGGAGUACACAAGGACGUACAAGAUGCUGUUUAUCAUUGUACGGAACGGAGGUUUAUGGCAGGUAAACGUCGCGUGAGUGACAGGACAUGGAGCUAAUUCCUGACGUUAACAGAGUUGAUUACUAUACUACUUCAUUUUACUUUAACUGUUUUAAAAUAUAAGGCUCGUAAGUUUUUUAAGGUAGCUUUAACAUAAAGUUUUGAAUAUUAAUAUAUUUCUUUUACUAUCAACGGCUAUAUAAAUUUGGUAUCAUAUGAAAAAUACAUUUAAAUGAAUGUAAUAAUGUCACAUGGUGCAAAACAUAUAAAUUAUUUUUAUAAUACAGCAAAUGCACAUGUACACACAACACCACCCUCGCACACCCUCGUGAACCCAUCUUUUAACACACGGUUAAAGAGACAGAAACCAACCAUACAUUCUUAAUUUCACUAAAUUUCUAUUAAAACAGUGUAUUCUUGAUUUCAUAAAAUUCUUAUAAUCACCCGUGCUCCCUAAUACAUAUAAAUUAUUAGUUCAAUUAUUAAUUAAAGUUUGUAAAUUUUGAUUUUUUUUAAUAAAAAAACAUGUGGAUGUCUUUUGCGGUGGGACUAGAGUAGUACAGUAGUGCUCCUUCGGCUCCUGAAUGGUCAUUUCUUUUUUUUGACUCUUGUGAAUACUCUCUGCUGCAUUAGCCUGCUGUAUGAUUAUCUCCUCUGCAGUCUGCAGUGUGCACCAAUGGCGAGCUGGUCAGUCAUUUACAACAUUGGCUGGGUGUUUCCCUUCAAACUUCAAAUUUUUCCGUUAUUUAAAAUUUUUUUGAAAAAAUUUAAAAACAUAAGUCACGAGUAAAGUACUAUUCAUGUUUUAUCAUAUCAUAACAAACAAAAAAUAUUAAUUAUAAAAAAAUUUUAAAUAAGACGGAUGAUUAAAAUUGGACGUGAAAACUUAUGGUUAGACUGAAAUGGGACAGAGGGAGUACUAGCAGGAGACAGUGGCAACGAUGUGUUUACCAAUGGGGAAAUUAUGGUACCCCGCACUUUGUCGGUGUAUUCUACUAGUAACUAAUAGUAGAAUAGUAAAAUCAACAAAAAUCAAUGCAGGUCAUGAGUUAAACCGUGAACCUGCAGAGGGCAGACUGGAACAAACCAGGUACAGAUUGGAUUACCCAUGAUGCUUAUUUUACGUACUAAUGCCUCCCUCUCAAAAAUAAAUUCAUUUUCUAUCGAUCCAACGUAUAUCAAUAUAAAACCAAAAUAACUAGAAAAUCCCCACUUUAUCAAAUCCAAAUUUAAUUAUGUUUCUUUAUCUACCCUGAUACAUUUAUCAUAUACUUUUACAAACUCUGAUGUACUGAUUGCUUGAAAAAAGAUAUUAUUUUGAGAUAAAUGGGAGGGACCAAAGACUUAUGUAGAGAUGGAGGGAGGAGAAGAGAGCCCGUACCAUUUUCACUGUAUUUAUGAAGGGCGCUAAUUCAAAAUGUAAUAUUUAGGAUAAACAGUUUUGAUAUUUUAGUGUUGGAUAGUACUCUCUCCGUUUUACAAUGUAAGUCAUUCUACCAUUUCCCACAUUCAUAUUAAUGUUAAUGAAUCUACACAUAUAUAAUCUAGAAGAAACUCAACAGGAGCAGUAUUAAACAGAACUGGACAGCAUAGAAGAUGCACACACAUAUAUAUUAUUAUUUAUAUACACUACUAAGUAGAAAAGAAUGCCACAGACACGGUAAUAAAAAUGGCAGUAGAUACAUAAGAAAUAAUUUAAUUACACUAGCUAGCAGUGGCACAUCUGAAAAAACAACGUGAAAUAAAAGGGAAAAAAAGCAAGCAGAAAGCUAGCUCAUCACUUUAUUCCAGAAACGGUACAGUGUAGUGACUCGCUCGCUCCUCCCUCUGGCGAAAUAAUGUCGUCAAUGCCUCAAUCGUGCAGCAGCAAGUGCUCGGUCUCCGGUGAUCGCCGUCACUGGUCGGUCGCUGGCGGUAUGUGCGGCGGCUUGUGCUUCUUCGGAGGUGCUUCAGGUUUUGGCUCAGGCUUAGGCUUAGGUUUCGGUUCAGGCUUUGGCUCUGGGUAUGGUUUAGGCUCCGGUUUUGGUUCGGGCUUAGGCUCUGGUUUAGGUUCAGGCUUCGGCUCUGGUUUUGGCUCCGGCUGUGGCUUGGGCUCUGGCUUUGGUUCUGGGUGUGGUUUGGGUUCUGGUUUGGGAUCCGGUUUAGGCUCUGGAUAUGGUUUGGGCUCUGGUUUUGGUUCAGGCUUUGGCUCAGGCUUCGGUUCAGGCUCUGGUUUUGGCUCUGGUUUUGGUUCAGGUUUUGGCUCUGGCUUUGGUUCUGGCUUGGGCUCAGGCUUAGGCUCAGGCUUAGGGUGUGGCUUGGGCUCAGGCUUUGGCUUUGGCUCUGGCUUUGGCUCUGGUUUUGGUUCAGGUUUUGGCUCCGGCUUUGGUUCUGGCUUUGGCUCAGGCUUAGGCUCAGGCUUUGGUUCAGGCUUAGGCUUAGGCUCAGGGUAUGGCUUGGGCUCAGGCUUUGGCUUUGGCUCUGGCUUUGGCUUUGGUUUUGGUUCAGGUUUUGGCUCCGGCUUUGGUUCUGGCUUUGGCUCAGGCUUAGGCUCAGGCUUUGGUUCAGGCUCAGGGUGUGGCUUGGGCUCAGGCUUAGGUUCAGGCUUAGGCUCAGGCUCUGGGUGUGGCUUAGGCUCAGGUUUCGGAUCAGGCUUUGGUUCUGGGUGUGGUUUGGGCUCUGGCUUUGGUUUGGGCUCCGGUUUUGGUUCCGGCUUCGGUUCCGGUUUUGGCUCUGGCUUCGGCUCUGGGUACGGCUUUGGUUCUGGUUUUGGUUCUGGCUUAGGCUCAGGUUUAGGCUCCGGCUCAGGUUUUGGCUCUGGCUUCGGCUCCGGUUUUGGCUCUGGGUAUGGUUUAGGUUCAGGCUUAGGCUCAGGUUUUGGUUCUGGCUUUGGUUCCGGUUUAGGCUCAGGCUCAGGUACUGGUUUUGGCUCCGGCUCUGGCUUGGGCUCAGGUUUUGGCGUGGGUUUAGGAUGAGGCUUUGGCUUUGGCUUCGGCUCCGGCUCCGGCAGCUUCUCGUAUGUCACACGACCCUGCUUGCUCAUGAAGCGGGCGCCAUGGCCGAGCCCCCGGCCAGCAGCCGCCGCUUCAUCAAUGAAGGCGCUCGCCACC